CACAUCUAGAGACUGAGAGAAGCAGGAAGCUCCAAUCUCAGAUCCACUCUCACAGGCUUCCCCCUCCAUCUUAACAUCAAGAAAGGCUGAGUGGACCCUGCGGUACUCUAAAACCUCUCGCUGAAGGAGCUAUCUGUAGUCCGGACACCAGGCGUUUACAAUCAGUACUGCAUUCCAAAUUCAAGAUAUUGGAGAGCAGUGUCCCCUCCCUCCCUCCACCUCCCCUCCGGACUCGAAGCUCCUGUGGGUUGCCAGGUUGAGGACACUGAACCAGACUCGAAGCUUCUGCGGGUUGCCAGGUUGAGGACGCUGAACCUACAUGAAGGAGCGCAAGACAAGCUCGACAUUAAACUUUGACAAUGAGUAAUCACUUCCUUGUUUGCAGCCCGAUGCAGAUCUCAGUUACGACGGGCCUUCAUCAGGGUCGAGUGAAGCCAGUGAGGGUGGUCAGGUGCCGCUGAUACGAGAGGCAGAGGGCAGAGAGGAUGAGCUAGAGAGAGGAGGAGGAGGAGGAGGAGCAGAGAGUGCGGGUCCCAGUGGUACAAGAGGCAGAGGAUCUAGAGGAAGAGCAACAGAGAGAAGAGAGAGUGCAGGUCCUGCAUGCCUCAAGUUAACAUGACUGAAUUCCAUGAGGUCAGUGAUUAAAAUCUGUGAUCUGUUCGAGGAAGAGCCAGAGGAAAAACGACAGAGACGCUGUUUAACGCUGGCGAAAGUUGACCACAUUCAUUGAUUCAUCUGUCCGUUGACUAAAUUAAAUAAAGUCCUCUAAAACGGG
ensembl:lncRNA